CGGAGAAUAAAAAAAAUUACCCAUUACGAAAAAAUCAUUUUGGCUCCAGGAGGCAAAUCUACUGGUAAAGCAAUGGAGAAGACGGCAGGAAAAACGCGAAAAAAUGUUGUCUAGUCUGACGGAAAGCGCAAGACCAAAAUGAAGGAAUCUUAUGUUAAUAAUCAAUAAGGUUUUAAAACAAGUACAUCCGGACACCGGAUUAUCAUCGAAAGCAAUGAUAUGAUCAUGAAUAGUUUUGUUAAUGAUAUUUUCGAGCGUAUCGUGACCGAAGCCCCGAUUAGCUCUGUAAAACAAGCGAACGACCAUUACCAGUCGGGAAAUUUAAACUGAUGUUGUCCAUCUUCUUCUCUUACCCGGUGAAUUGGCUAACACGCAGUCAGCGAAGGCACUAAAGCUGUCACCAAGCUAAGGAAAAACGUGUCCGCAGAAUAGAUCAGAGAAAGAAAGAAGGAAAAAGAAAAAACAAAACGGCAUUGUAAAACUAAUCGUAGCGAGGGAGCUACGAUCUGGAUUUCAUAUCGAAUCGAUAAGACUAGAACCACUGGGGUGGUUGGUGAGGUCAAGGCAUGAGUGAGAAAACGCCUGUACACCACAUCCGCAUUUAGUGUCUCCGUCCUACAACCCCGCGACAUGGGAAAUUUGCAUUUCGUAUUUCAGUAGGACAAAUUUGAAUUAUUGACUUAUUACUACACAGUCAGAGGUAAAAGACCUCAGCAAAAUGUUUUUUCGAUUUUUUAAUUUUGAAGUGUGAUAUGUUGUAUAUUGCAAUAAUUUUAAAUUUUAUAUAUACAUGAAUUAGUAAUAAUGCGUAUAAUCACAACAAUAGUAAAUCCAAAAAGUAUUUAAUAUACAUCUAUGGUUUGUGUUACCAAUUUUAGUACGAAAACUAAUCUGAAAAAGUAAAACGUUAUGACAACCAGAUAUUAUUAUUUUUCUAAAUAGUUUUUUCUUGCCUGAAUGUCUUUGAUAACGCAGAAAAUAAUAUUAACAUUUUUUUUUUUUUUAUCUGACAUACAUACUCAAUGAGGUUUUGCCGCCAUUUUAGUUCUUACGGAUAAUUACAAAGUAUAUCAGUGGGUAAUACGAUAUACGAUAGUAGGUAUG